rnacentral:rRNA from 1 species
CCUACGGGUGGCUGCAGUGGGGAAUAUUGCACAAUGGGCGCAAGCCUGAUGCAGCCAUGCCGCGUGUGUGAAGAAGGCCGUCGGGUUGUAAAGCACUUUCAGCGGGGAGGAAGGCGUUAAGGUUAAUAACCUUGGCGAUUGACGUUACCCGCAGAAGAAGCACCGGCUAACUCCGUGCCAGCAGCCGCGGUAAUACGGAGGGUGCAAGCGUUAAUCGGAAUUACUGGGCGUAAAGCGCACGCAGGCGGUCUGUCAAGUCGGAUGUGAAAUCCCCGGGCUCAACCUGGGAACUGCAUUCGAAACUGGCAGGCUAGAGUCUUGUAGAGGGGGGUAGAAUUCCAGGUGUAGCGGUGAAAUGCGUAGAGAUCUGGAGGAAUACCGGUGGCGAAGGCGGCCCCCUGGACAAAGACUGACGCUCAGGUGCGAAAGCGUGGGGAGCAAACAGGAUUAGAUACCCCAGUAGUC